rnacentral:lncRNA from 1 species
CGUUAUUGUGGCUAGCUUUCACAUAGGUUACUCUGGCAUUGCUGGCCGCGGCUGGGAACAACGGCUCUCCAGAUUACCCGGUUUCCCGUGUGGAGGCAUGCAUCGAAAACUUGGGUUAGCUUGCUGCUACAAGGGGCACAUAUAUAGGUGGAGUGGCAUUAUUGACAAGCCAGAAUGCUGACAGGCCAGGGCUCAUAUUCACAAAGAAUCUCAGAGGAGUACUGAUUUAAGGAUAAGUUAUGCCUUCAAAAUCAAAUCAAAUUGUAUUAGUCACUGCGCAGAAUACAACAGGUGUAGACCUUAGUGAAAUGCUUACUUACGAGCCCCUAACCGACAGUGCAGUACAAAUAAGAAAUAAAAGUAACAAGUAAUACUGUGUCUUUCACACGGAGUACAAUUGCAUUGACAAGGGGGAGGUUAUCCUAGAUCACUAUCCUUACUCUGAGACGCUUUGUAAAUAUGGGCCCUGGAAGAAAACUGUUGCCCCAUACAUCGCACAGCAGUCGCUUUACCCCAGUUCUAAGGUCCUGACCACCCUGUUCCUGGAGUCCCGCAGGAUUUUGUUCCAACUAGGCUCUAAACCCAGGGGGUGUUUUCAGUUCGCUUGAACGUUUGCUACGUUGCAGAACGGGUUUGUACUGAACGACAUGUUUUCCCAAAACGUUUUUGAACAGACAGAUGUGUUUGCUCCAUUCAGUGGGUGUGCCGGGGUGUGGCUUGAAGCAACAAGUGGCGUAUUUAAAGGGCAGAGGUGCAUUUUAAACCCACGACCUAACCCUUACCUGUUUUUCAACUGGUUGUUUAGUACAGCACCACUUCCGUUCAAUUUAACGUUCUAUCACAUUUUUAUGUACUGAACACAGCCCUGACCAAUGCCUAAAUUUAACACACCUGGUCUUCCAGGUCGGUUAAAUCAAAAACAUGUAGUGCCUGGGCACUCAGAGACCAGGGUUGCCUACCCCUGCCCUAGAGGUAUUAGUCAAUGCUUAUGAACUGGAUAUUGUUUAUGAAUUUCCAUAUAUCGAUGACACUAACAAAAAAAAAGAGUUGAAUUGUUCAGCAACAUGUGCAGUAAAUGUUAUCAUGGCUUUAGUGGUACAUAAUACAUUGUCAUCUCAUCUUCAAGUUUCCUGACUGAAUACUGUGGCUUUCAGUGGUACUGGAAGCAAGGGCCUUACCUGGGAAUAGAGCAAGUCUCUCUCUCUCUCUCGCAGCAAUUCUGUCAACAUGUCUUGUAUGUAACCAUUCAAAUUCAUACAAACUGCUACAAUCACUGACUUAUAUUAAAUUUGUCUACUUGUCCCAUUCUUCAAUUUUGUCUAGGAUAUAUUUUAGUUACUGUAAAAUUUAGUGUGAAGAC